rnacentral:rRNA from 1 species
AGAGUUUGAUCCUGGAGCUUGUUGGUGGGGUAACGGCCUACCAAGGCGAUGAUCGGUAGCUGGUCUGAGAGGAUGAUCAGCCACACUGGGACUGAGACACGGCCCAGACUCCUACGGGAGGCAGCAGUGGGGAAUAUUGGACAAUGGGCGCAAGCCUGAUCCAGCAAUGCCGCGUGAGUGAAGAAGGUCUUCGGAUUGUAAAGCUCUUUUGGCAGGGACGAUGAUGACGGUACCUGCAGAAUAAGCCCCGGCUAACUUCGUGCCAGCAGCCGCGGUAAUACGAAGGGGGCUAGCGUUGCUCGGAAUGACUGGGCGUAAAGGGCGCGUAGGCGGAAGUGACAGUCAGACGUGAAAUUCCUGGGCUCAACCUGGGGACUGCGUUUGAGACGUUACAUCUAGAGUGAGGAAGAGGGUUGUGGAAUUCCCAGUGUAGAGGUGAAAUUCGUAGAUAUUGGGAAGAACACCGGUGGCGAAGGCGGCAACCUGGUCCUUUACUGACGCUGAGGCGCGAAAGCGUGGG